GAUGAACGCUGGCGGCGUGCCUAAUACAUGCAAGUCGAGCGAACGGACGAGAAGCUUGCUUCUCUGAUGUUAGCGGCGGACGGGUGAGUAACACGUGGAUAACCUACCUAUAAGACUGGGAUAACUUCGGGAAACCGGAGCUAAUACCGGAUGAUAUUUUGAACCGCAUGGUUCAAAAGUGAAAGACGGUCUUGCUGUCACUUAUAGAUGGAUCCGCGCUGCAUUAGCUAGUUGGUAAGGUAACGGCUUACCAAGGCAACGAUGCAUAGCCGACCUGAGAGGGUGAUCGGCCACACUGGAACUGAGACACGGUCCAGACUCCUACGGGAGGCAGUAGUAGGGAAUCUUCCGCAAAGGGCGAAAGCCUGACGGAGCAACGCCGCGUGAGUGAUGAAGGUCUUCGGAUCGUAAAACUCUGUUAUUAGGGAAGAACAUAUGUGUAAGUAACUGUGCACAUCUUGACGGUACCUAAUCAGAAAGCCACGGCUAACUACGUG
rnacentral:rRNA from 1 species